GGUGCUAUUAUGCAGUCGAGCGCAGAAACUGACGGAACUCUUCGGAGGGAAGGCAGUGGAAUGAGCGGCGGACGGGUGAGUAACACGUAAGGAACCUGCCUCAAGGAUUGGGAUAACUCCGAGAAAUCGGAGCUAAUACCGGAUAGUUCAUCGGACCGCAUGGUCCGUUGAUGAAAGGCGCUCCGGCGUCACCUUGAGAUGGCCUUGCGGUGCAUUAGCUAGUUGGUGGGGUAACGGCCCACCAAGGCGACGAUGCAUAGCCGACCUGAGAGGGUGAUCGGCCACACUGGGACUGAGACACGGCCCAGACUCCUACGGGAGGCAGCAGUAGGGAAUCUUCCACAAUGGACGAAAGUCUGAUGGAGCAACGCCGCGUGAGUGAUGAAGGUUUUCGGAUCGUAAAACUCUGUUGUAAGGGAAGAACACGUACGAGAGGGAAUGCUCGUACCUUGACGGUACCUUACGAGAAAGCCACGGCUAACUACGUGCCAGCAGCCGCGGUAAUACGUAGGUGGCAAGCGUUGUCCGGAAUUAUUGGGCGUAAAGCGCGCGCAGGCGGCCUUUUAAGUCUGAUGUGAAAGCCCCCGGCUCAACCGGGGAGGGCCAUUGGAAACUGGAAGGCUUGAGUACAGAA
rnacentral:rRNA from 1 species